rnacentral:rRNA from 1 species
ACGUAGGGGGCAAGCGUUGUCCGGAAUUAUUGGGCGUAAAGAGCGCGUAGGCGGCUUGCCAAGUCCGACGUGAAACCCCGGGGCUCAACUCCGGAAGUGCAUCGGAAACCGCAUUGCUAGAGUCUGGGAGAGGGGAGUGGAAUUCCUGGUGUAGCGGUGAAAUGCGCAGAUAUCAGGAGGAACACCAGUAGCGAAGGCUGCCAACUGGAACAGUACUGACGCUGAGGCGCGAAAGUUAGGGGAGCGAACAG